rnacentral:rRNA from 1 species
AUUGAACGCUGGCGGAAUGCUUUACACAUGCAAGUCGAGCGGCAGCGCGGCCUUCGGGCUGGCGGCGAGCGGCGAACGGGUGAGUAAUGCAUCGGAACGUGCCCAGUCGUGGGGGAUAACACUUCGAAAGAAGUGCUAAUACCGCAUACGUCCUGAGGGGGAAAGCGGGGGAUCGCAAGACCUCGCGCGAUUGGAGUGGCCGAUGUCAGAUUAGCUAGUUGGUGGGGUAAAGGCCUACCAAGGCGACGAUCUGUAGCUGGUCUGAGAGGAUGAUCGGCCACACUGGGACUGAGACACGGCCCAGACUCCUACGGGAGGCAGCAGUGGGGAAUUUUGGACAAUGGGGGCAACCCUGAUCCAGCCAUUCCGCGUGAGUGAAGAAGGCCUUCGGGUUGUAAAGCUCUUUCGGCAGGAACGAAACGGUGGGCUCUAACAUAGUCCGCUAAUGACGGUACCUAAAGAAGAAGCACGGGCUAACUACGUG